CGGCCAUUCGCUCGCUGCCCUCCCUCCCUCUCUCUCGCGGGCUCUGUGGCUCACUCAGUCGCUCGCUCGCGUCGCUGCGGAGGAGGAGGAUGAGUAGGAGGAGGUGAUGGUGAUGGUGGUGGUGAUGGUGGUCGGAAUAAUGAGAUAGCUGCAAGCGCGGUUCGAACCGAGGUACAAGCUCACAAACGGAAGCCUUCAUCAGCAGCAUCAUAAUCGGCACACCGGCGCAGCCGCUGCGGAUGCUCGGUUGCGGCGGAUCCGCGCGAACUCCGCUCGUGCCCCGGGUGGUGGUGGUGGUGGUGAUGGCAGCCGGGGAGAUCGGAGGAGAUCGGAAAGAGGCCUCGGAUCGCAGAGGAUUAAUCCGCCCCAACACCGGCCACGGGAAGCCGGCUCGCGUCUCUUGGCAAGGGUCGAGCUGCCCGCUAAACACGGAACGUUGUCGGGCUAACGUUGUUCCUGCCAACGUUGUUCCUGCCAACGUUGUUCCUAUGUUGUUCCAACGGUUCCAACCACAACGUUGGGCCAACGUUGACCCAACGGGUUGGCGCGUGUACUGGCUCGGCGAGGAAUAAAAAAAAGUGUUCUUGCAACCGUGGCUUUGAAAGUGUUCUCCUGCACAGCACUAGUGUCCGUGGACUCUGUACCCACCCACCCUUGCCGCCCUUGUGGGUUGGGGUUUGUUAUUGGAGUGGUUACUACUACUAGU